GAGGGCAACUGGAGGAGAAUGACUGGUAAAACCCAGACCAGCAACGUGACCAACAAGAAUGACCCACGUUCCCUCAACUCCAGAGUCUUUAUCGGCAACCUCAACACAGCAAUCGUCAAGAAGACUGACAUAGAGGUCAUCUUUGCCAAGUACGGCAAGAUAGUGGGUUGCUCCGUGCACAAGGGUUACGCCUUCGUACAGUACAUGAAUGAGAGGAAUGCCCGAGCGGCUGUGGCGGGAGAAAACGCUCGUAUCAUCGCUGGACAGCCUCUUGACAUAAACAUGGCAGGUGAGCCCAAGCCAUACAGGCCUAAAGCAGGCUCCAAACGGCCGCUCUCAGCUGUUUACAGUGGUUAUGAAUUUGAUUACGAGUACUACAGGGAUGAUUUCUACAGCAGGCUUUUUGACUACCACGGCCGAGUGGCCCCCCCACCCAGAGCCGUGAUCCCUCUCAAACGCUCCAGGGUGCUCGCUCCCUCCUCCCGCCGUGGGAAGACCUCUUUCCCCAUCAAAACUACCUCCUCUUCCUCCUCUUCAUCCUCCAGACCUCCCACAUCAUCCUCCUCUGGGCUCAAACCAGUGAAGACGGACCAGCUUCAGACUAUUAAACGGGAGCUCACUCAGAUCAAGAUGAAGAUUGACUCUUUGCUGGGACGUCUGGAGAAGAUUGAGAAGCAGCAGAGAGCCGAGUCUGAGGCUCAGAGAAAGUACGAGGACAACUGCGACUCCCUGCAUGAGGAGUCCGUGUCAGAGACGGCAGAGAACUCUGGGGAGGAGGCUGGCGAGGGGGCGCUUGAUGUGGAGGCGGGAGAGAUGACCGAUGGAGGCGAGGACGACUACGACGAGGAGGGCAGCCACCAUCUGAUAGAGAACCAUGUAUCGGAUAUUGACAACUGAGAUCAGGGUGAGGAAGCAGACACCCCCAGUCCGUGGUAUUAGAAUUCAUCAUCACCUUCAAGAGACAGAAAAGGAUCUCUGAGGGGAUCAAGACACCCAUUCUGGACUCUUGUGCAUCACAACAUGGACUGCUACUGUUCAGGAGCCAAUGCCCUUUCUCCUUCUCCUUCGCCAUCUCCCUCUGCAUUCUGCAUUGAUUCCAUCUGAUGUAGACAAGGCAGUGAGCUUUCAGAUUUCCUUUAAAGCCAUCCUAAGGAGGAGGUAGGUGUUGGGAACUACUAUUCAGCUAUACCAGGUGUUUCCAGGUGAUUCCUCAGUAGCAUAAAUUGGACUGAUGGUGUGUAUCAGCCAACAUCUGUUAAAGCUUUCAGAUUUCAUUAUUAAGCCUGUUUGAACAGUGCUCUGAAAGCUUUUAAAGAAGUCGACUUAAUGUAAGAUUUAACUGCUGUUGCUCAGUCAGUAGCCUAAAUGUUGUUUUUUUUAAAUUUUAAUGUAACCUAAUAUAUUUGACGGAUUAUUGAUACUGUAAUAGUUAAGGAGACAGAUACUAUUGUAGGAGCAAAAUAUUCUACAAUAUGAUUUAAAAAAAUAUAAAUUUUUGUGCAACUAGACUAUAAAUACAAUAUUUCCUUAAUUGCCAUUUUUUGAGUGAAUGUACAGCACUAUUAUGUAGUGUACCACCUGACACACUUGUGCUAUAUUAGCUGUAUGCUCACCUCCUCCUGACAGUGUUUUUAAAGUGAAAGCAUAGAAGGAAAUAUGAUUCUGUCAUUGUUUUAAGUAACUCUGCUCUUGGCUGAAUCCAAAUGUCCUGACUUUGUCGCACUUGCAGACACGUGGAAUAAACGGUCGCAUUACUGGGCAGUUGUGAAUUCACAGUUCAUCAAGUCCACAAGGGAGCUCAUGUGGAGUUGCUGCAGAGUCCGCUCAGAGUGGAGACUUCGCUGAUUGAAUUACCCACAGUUCUUUGCAACUGGGAUAAGACACAACAACAUUAUUAAAGGUAUAAUAUGUAACUGUUCGACAUUAUAAUGUCUAAAAACUAGACCCAUGUUAUAUAUUUUGUUGACUUAUGUACUUACAUUAUCCUAAAUGUUUCCAACAAUUGAAAAUCGAAAACAAUUGAAAUCGAGGUAACGGCCCAUUUCAUUUGGUCACCUGUCAAUGGCGUCAUAUCCCUUUGCACAUGCGUCAGUGUUGUGGUUGUCUACCAGAAGCUGCUAUAAAUUGAUGUAUACGAUACACUUUUUAGAUCUUGGUUGUUUUUAACUAUAUCUUUUAAUCAGAUGAAAGAUUUUAAUCAUCGGAUGUCUGGAUCUUAAGUUAUCAAAGAAACAAGUGGAGCAAACAUUAGCAGCAGUUCAGCUCGCAGCCCCUCCGGAACUCCUCUGUCUGCCAAACAAUGCCGGAGAAACGUUGAUUUUUAACAAUAAACUACUUUAUUCAGUGUUUUUACUGGUUUUAAUCACCAUGUCCGUUUGGAGGAGACCUAUGCGGAUAAUUAGGCUCCUGGUAAUUCGGCUCCUGGUUAAAACCUCAUGAAUGAUGAACACUGAAGGAAUCUUAACCAGGAAAAGCUGAUUGUUUGUUGAAGACAACCUCUCCCAUGAUCCCACACUUCUUCUCAACUUCAUCAGACUCUGUCUUUUGUUAUUGUUUUGAUUGAGAGACCCCUAGUGGCAGAAAAUUACGUAUUGUGCGUUUAAUUGCGAACAAAAAACUUGCCUUUCAAAUGCAAGUAUAAAAGUAUGUGUUACUUGCAUCAUGUAGAAACAAUAUUUAACAAAAAAUAUGCAGAAGAAAAAAAUAUGACACUAAAAAGCUUUGAAAAAUAAUAACGGUAAAAAAGCAGUGAAAGCUUAUCAAUAGUCUUAUCAACAGUUGAUGACAGUAUGUAGUCCUGAAGUCUGCAAGGGUUCAGUCCAAGCCCAAGUCCAGAUGGUUGACAUUUGGAUUCAGCCUUAUACUGACUGAAUAUCAGCUGAAGUCCUGGUUUCUAUUUAAAAGUUUAACCAUAUGAUUCUGUGUCAUUUAUGGUUUAAAGGGUAAUUUCACUGAAAUUAUCGAAAAAUAAAUGCUCUCUUAUCUCUAGUGGUAUCUAGUCAAGCAUUUAGUUGUGGUUUUAUGUGCACAGGUUUUGAGAUAUCCACCCCUGAGACUCGUACCGCCACUUAAUACAAUCACAAGGUGACUGAAAUUCCAUUUGUGGUGCUUGAAGCAUAAAAAAUUACAUUAAAAAAUUCAACAGUAAUAUAUGUUUCUCUUGCUAUUUUAUUUGACCUUGGGUAGAAAAUGGUUGCCAUGAAAACUGUGGAUUAAUAACCUGAAUAACAGGUUAGGAUUAGAGUUUUUCAAAUGUAACUGUUAAAUUCUUUGAGCACCACAAACAAAAAAGUGCAUUCAGCCAAAACCUGGGCAAAUAAAACCAUAAACUAUCUAUCAUGGCUGGAUAACACUAAGGAAAAGUUAGAACAUGUGUUGUUUGGUGAUUUGGUUGAACUGACCCUUUAAACAUACAUAAACGUGAAGGAAAAGUCACCUCGCACAAUUUCAUUAACACAACAGUCCCUGGCAGUGCUGCCUAAAAAAAUACAUUAAAUAAAAUUUUAAAAAACGACUGUCCUGCAGCUCAUUCUAAGUAAGUGUCUGGUGAAUGAUGAUAAUGUGUAAUAUUUAGCACUAUUUUUGUAUUCAGAAAACAUGUUUAAGGGAAACAGCUCUGCUACAUGUUUAUCUUUUUUGCUGGUAGCCUGUUAUUUAAUGAACAGUAUGGUGAUGUGUCAAAUAUUUUGCAAAAAUUAAAAAAAAAAAAAAUAGCCUCAUUGCUUUUAACUGUUGUACUUUAUCUGGGUCACUUUAGAACAUUUUUGGCUCAACACAUUCAGUUUUCAUUUUCACUGUAAAUAGUCCUUACCUUGUUUAUUUCAAACGCCAGCUAGAAUAGGAAGAGAAAUUUUAUUGCGUUUAAAAUAACGUUGAAAUAAUAUACUGACAGUUUGUUGGAGUUGUUGCAGGUUUUAACCAGAAUCACUCUUGGUUUGGGAUUCAGUGUGGGGCUUGUAGAGAUGUGUAACUGACAACUGUUGUAUAGAAAUGUACAUUUUUUGUAAAGAUAUUUUUAUCAAAAGGCAUGUUGACUGUAACUUUGUAUUUUCAGUUCAUGUAUAAAAACAGUAUAUCACAACUGUUGUAAGGCUAAAAAAAAAAAAAACUUGUCAUUGUAAAUAACUAUUUGUGUUCUUAUCAGUCAAUAAAAAUGUUUGUGUCACAUA